AGGAUGGGACUGCGACCGAUCAGGCUGUUGGCGGGGUAAUGGCCCACCAAACCAGUAACCGGUACGGGCUUUGAGAGAAGGAGCCCGGAGAUGGACACUGAGACAAGGGUCCAGGUCCUACGGGGCGCAGCAGGCGCGAAACCUUCGCAAUGUGCGAAAGCAUGACGAGGUUAAUCCGAGUGGCAUCCGCUGAGGAAGUCUUUUGCCGGCUCUAAAACGGCCGGUGAAUAAGGGGAGGGCAAGCCUGGUGUCAGCCGCCGCGGUAAUACCAGCUCCUCGAGUGGUCGGGGCGAUUAUUGGGCCUAAAGCAUCCGUAGCCGGUUCCGUAGGUCCUCUGUUAAAUCCAGCCGCUUAACGGUUGGCCUGCAGAGGAUACCGCGGGACUAGGAGGCGGGAGAGGCGGGCGGUACUCUACGUGUAGGGGUAAAAUCCUUUGAUCCGUAGAAGACCACCAGUGGCGAAGGCGGCCCGCCAGAACGCGCUCGACGGUGAGGGAUGAAAGCUGGGGGAGCGAACCGGAUUAGAUACCCGGGUAGUCCCAGCCGUAAACGAUGCGAGCUAGAUGAUCCAGUCGCAAAUCGCGAUUGGAGUGUCGCAGGGAAGCCGUUAAGCUCGCCGCCUGGGGAGUACGGUCGCAAGACUGAAACUUAAAGGAAU
rnacentral:rRNA from 1 species